rnacentral:tRNA from 1 species
GGAACAUUAGUUCAGAGGUAGAACAACUGGCUGUUAACCAGUAUGUCACAGGUUCUAUUCCUGUAUGUUCCG